rnacentral:rRNA from 1 species
CCGAAAGUCCGCGGGGCAGCAUGGGGGUUGCUUGCAACCCCCGAUGGCGACCGGCGCACGGGUGAGUAACGCGUAUCCAACCUGCCCUUCACCACGGGAUAACCCGGCGAAAGUCGGACUAAUACCGUAUGUUGUCCAUUGACGGCAUCCGAUUUGGACGAAAGGCUUUGCGGUGAAGGAUGGGGAUGCGUCCGAUUAGCCAGACGGCGGGGUAACGGCCCACCGUGGCUACGAUCGGUAGGGGUUCUGAGAGGAAGGUCCCCCACACUGGAACUGAGACACGGUCCAGACUCCUACGGGAGGCAGCAGUGAGGAAUAUUGGUCAAUGGGCGUAAGCCUGAACCAGCCAAGUAGCGUGCAGGAUGACGGCCCUAUGGGUUGUAAACUGCUUUUAUGCGGGGAUAAAGGAGCCCACGUGUGGGCUUUUGCAGGUACCGCAUGAAUAAGGACCGGCUAAUUCCGUGCCAGCAGCCGCGGUAAUACGGAAGGUCCGGGCGUUAUCCGGAUUUAUUGGGUUUAAAGGGAGCGUAGGCCGCGCCUUAAGCGUGUUGUGAAAUCCGGGUGCUCAACAUCCGGCUUGCAGCGCGAACUGGGGCGCUUGAGUGCGCUGAAAGUAGGCGGAAUUCGUGGUGUAGCGGUGAAAUGCUUAGAUAUCACGAGGAACUCCGAUUGCGAAGGCAGCCUACUGUAGCGCUACUGACGCUGAUGCUCGAAAGCGUGGGUAUCGAACAGGAUUAGAUACCCUGGUAGUCCACGCGGUAAACGAUGGAUGCUCGUUGUCGGCCCUUCGGGUCGGUGACCAAGCGAAAGCGUUAAGCAUCCCACCUGGGGAGUACGCCGGCAACGGG